GCCUGGAUAGCUCAGUCGGUAGAGCAGAGGAUUGAAAAUCCUCGUGUCGGUGGUUCGAUUCCGCCUCCGGGCACCA
rnacentral:tRNA from 1 species